UGAAUACGAGAUGCUACAGCGUCGAAGCAGUCUAUGUCAUACUUCCAAGAAAAGCUUGCACUGUCAUAAACAAAUAAUGCCUGUACCAUAACCGACACAGGUGGGUAGGUAGAGUAUACUAAGGGGCGCGAGAUAACUCUCUCUAAGGAACUCGGCAAAAUGACUCCGUAACUUCGGGAGAAGGAGUGCCUUAUUUUAUAAGGUUGCAAUAACAAGAUCCAAGCAACUGUUUACCAAAAACACAGGUCUCCGCUAAGUCGUAAGACGAUGUAUGGGGGCUGACGCCUGCCCAGUGCCAGAAGGUUAAAGAAGUUGGUUAGCAUCCGCGAAGCUGAUAACUGAAGCCCUGGUGAACGGCGGCCGUAACGAUAACGGUCCUAAGGUAGCGAAAUUCCUUGUCGGGUAAGUUCCGACCCGCACGAAAGGCGUAAUGAUUUGGAUACUGUCUCAGAGAGGGGCUCGGUGAAAUAGACUUGUCUGUGAAGAUGCGGACUACCUGCACCAGGACAGAAAGACCCUAUGAAGCUUUACUGUAACUUGAAAUUGAAAUUGGACUUUACUUGCGCAGUAUAGGUGGGAGGCGUUGAGAAUAUUCUUGCGGGAAUGUUGGAGCCAUCAGUGAGAUACCACUCUUGUAAUGUUAGAUUUCUAACUUUGUAUCAUUAUCUGGUCAAAGGACAGUUUCAGGCGGGCAGUUUGACUGGGGCGGUCGCCUCCCAAACGGUAACGGAGGCGCACAAAGGUUUCCUCUGAACGGGUAGAAAUCGUAUCUAGAGUGUAAAGGCAUAAGGAAGCUUGACUGUGAGACCUACAAGUCGAGCAGGGACGAAAGUCGGUCUUAGUGAUCUGACGGUGCUGAGUGGAAAGGCCGUCACUCAACGGAUAAAAGUUACUCUAGGAUAACAGGCUGAUCUCCCCCAAGAGUUCACAUCGACGGGGAGGUUUGGCACCUCGAUGUCGGCUCAUCGCAUCCUGGGGCGGUAGUACGUCCCAAGGGUUGGGCUGUUCGCCCAUGAAAGCGGUACGCGAGCUGGGUUCAGAACGUCGUGAGACAGUUCGGUCCAUAUCCGGUGUAGGCGUUAGAAUAUUGAGAGGAGCCUUCUUUAGUACGAGAGGACCGAGAAGGACAUACCUCUGGUGUACCAGUUAUCGUGCCAACGGUAAACGCUGGGUAGCUAUGUAUGGAGUGGAUAACCGCUGAAAGCAUCUAAGUGGGAAGCCCACCUCAAGAUAAGUAUUCUCA
rnacentral:rRNA from 1 species